rnacentral:rRNA from 1 species
UUGGUGAGGUAAUGGCUCACCAAGGCGACGACGGGUAGCCGGCCUGAGAGGGCGACCGGCCACACUGGGACUGAGACACGGCCCAGACUCCUACGGGAGGCAGCAGUGGGGAAUAUUGCACAAUGGGCGAAAGCCUGAUGCAGCGACGCCGCGUGAGGGACGACGGCCUUCGGGUUGUAAACCUCUUUCAGCAGGGAAGAAGCGAAAGUGACGGUACCUGCAGAAGAAGCGCCGGCUAACUACGUGCCAGCAGCCGCGGUAAUACAUAGGGCGCAAGCGUUGUCCGGAAUUAUUGGGCGUAAAGAGCUCGUAGGCGGUCUGUCGCGUCGGAUGUGAAAGCCCGGGGCUUAACCCCGGGUCUGCAUUCGAUACGGGCAGACUAGAGUGUGGUAGGGGAGAUCGGAAUUCCUGGUGUAGCGGUGAAAUGCGCAGAUAUCAGGAGGAACACCGGUGGCGAAGGCGGAUCUCUGGGCCAUUACUGACGCUGAGGAGCGAAAGCGUGGGGAGCGAACAGGAUUAGAUACCCUGGUAGUCCACGCCGUAAACGGUGGGAACUAGGUGUUGGCGACAUUCCACGUCGUCGGUGCCGCAGCUAACGCAUUAAGUUCCCCGCCUGGGGAGUACGGC